rnacentral:tRNA from 1 species
CCUGGUGGCUCAGAUGGUAGAGAAUCUGCCUGCAAUGCAGGAGUGCCAGGUUCGAUCCCUGGGUCAGGA